ACCGUGAACUCGUUUUGCAGCACGGGUCCGGCCUCCAGUCCGCGCUCCGCCUUCUAGGUGCCAGCCAGAAGCAGCUCCCGAGUCUCCAGUGGAGCCACCAAGCUUUUGGCAGAAGGUGAAUGAGGUGUGGAAGCGUAUCUCAUGGAAGUCCGUUUCCACACUUGUACUGCUUAUUGGGUGCACAGUUGUCGGAUAUUUUGCAAACAAAGAGGUCCCAUGGGCAUUGUUCAUCGUCGAUGUACUAGACAAGGGGAACAAAACAUACAAACCCACUCUGGAGUUUGCAGUUCUACUAGUAGCAGUUAUCAUUUCUUUGUCCUCGAAGUAGAUGCAGAACAUUAGAUGUACCCGACAAGGCGAGCAAUGCUUUAAAAUCUGUUUUGGUAUUUGCAUCCCUAUUCAUGGCAAUCACAAUUUUUGAGUGUCCCCGAGGUAGUUACAGAGAUUGAGACGCAUAUGUUUUUUCAUUGGAAAGUUUACUCAUAAUAUUUCAGGAUCCUCGAGGUAGUUACAGACAUUGAGACGCGUGUUUUUUCAUUAUCACAAUGUACUGGACAAGGUGACAACCCUUAAAAAUGCAUUUUGGGAUGCAACUUUCGUAAUAGGGAUUAUCAAUUCUCCAUUCUUAGGUAGUUGGAGAAUGUUAUUCUUGGAUAUAUGUUACAGAGAGUAGAAUGGACGUGAUACAGUUGUUAGACAGAUAUACUUUCUAUGUCUUAGUCAUGUUAUAUAGCCAUCGUAUAAGGGGUUUUCUACGUCUUUACCUUUGUACCUGUAUAUACAUAUCGACUUCAUGGAAAUACCAGUUGCAUAUUUCCUAACAUUGUAUCAGAUCAGUUUCUUUCCUGAUAUAAAUGCCGUAACUAGUUCCUCACAAAAGAUUGUGAU